UUCCAUUUUCUCAAACAGGGUAAGGAACUUGGUUCCUCGAAUAACUUCUGGCACAUACAUCUAAGGGCAUGGCUGUCCAAGAAGAAAAUGUAGCCAUUGGUGCCAUCUAUCGACCACAAGUUAAAGAUUGGCGAUCCGUUGGAUACCGACCGAGUUAUAGGCAAAAGUUGGUGCAAAAAUGAGGAAAAUUUUACAUUUUCUCAAACAGGGUAAGGAACUUGGUUCCUCGAAUAACUUCUGGCACAGACAUCUGAGGACAUGGCUUUCCAAGAAGAAAAUGUAGCCAUUGGUGCCAUCUAUCGACUACAGGUUAAAGAUUGGCGAUCCGUUGGAUACCGACCGAGUUAUAGGCAAAAUUGGUGCAAAAAUUAAGAAAAUUUUACAUUUUCUCAAACAGGGUAUGGAACUUGGUUCCUCGAAUAACUUCUGGCACAGACAUCUAAGGGCAUGGCUGUCCAAGAAGAAAAUGUAGCCAUUGGUGCCAUCUAUCGACCACA